UAAGAGACAGCAGUCGCCGCGGUAAUACGUAGGUCCCGAGCGUUGUCCGGAUUUAUUGGGCGUAAAGCGAGCGCAGGCGGUUAGAUAAGUCUGAAGUUAAAGGCUGUGGCUUAACCAUAGUACGCUUUGGAAACUGUUUAACUUGAGUGCAAGAGGGGAGAGUGGAAUUCCAUGUGUAGCGGUGAAAUGCGUAGAUAUAUGGAGGAACACCGGUGGCGAAAGCGGCUCUCUGGCUUGUAACUGACGCUGAGGCUCGAAAGCGUGGGGAGCAAACAGGAUUAGAUACCCCCGUAGUCCCUGUCUCUUAUACC
rnacentral:rRNA from 1 species